UGGGGAAUUUCGGACAAUGGGCGAAAGCCUGAUCCAGCCAUGCCGCGUGCAGGAAGAAGGCCUUCGGGUUGUAAACUGCUUUAGUCUAGGAAAAAGGGGUGCGAGGUUAAUACCCUCGUGCUUUGAUGGUACUGGAAGAAUAAGCACCGGCUAACUACGUGCCAGCAGCCGCGGUAAUACGUAGGGUGCGAGCGUUAAUCGGAAUUACUGGGCGUAAAGCGUGCGCAGGCGGUCUUGUAAGACAGUCGUGAAAUCCCUGGGCUUAACCUAGGAACUGCGAUUGUGACUGCAAGGCUAGAGUGUGUCAGAGGGGGGUGGAAUUCCACGUGUAGCAGUGAAAUGCGUAGAGAUGUGGAGGAACACCGAUGGCGAAGGCAGCCCCCUGGGAUAACACUGACGCUCAUGCACGAAAGCGUGGGGAGCAAACAGG
rnacentral:rRNA from 1 species